GAUGAACGCUAGCGGCAGGCUUAAUACAUGCAAGUCAAGGGGGUAGCAAUACUACCGGCGCACGGGUGAGUAACACGUACAUAACAUACCAUAUACUGGGGUAUAGCUUUGGGAAACUGAAGGUAAUCCCCCAUAACAUUGCGAGAGGGCAUCUGAUUGCAAUUAAAGUUUCGACGGUAUAUGAUUGAUGUGCGUUUGAUUAGCUUGUUGGUAGGGUAACGGCCUACCAAGGCGACGAUCAAUAGCUGGCGUGAGAGCGCGACCAGCCACACUGGAACUGAGACACGGUCCAGACUCCUACGGGAGGCAGCAGUAGGGAAUAUUGGACAAUGGGCGAAAGCCUGAUCCAGCCAUGCCGCGUGAUAGAUGAAGGCCCUCUGGGUUGUAAAUAUCUUUUAUCUGGGAAGAAACAAUCUUAUUCUUAAGAUCUUGACGGUACCAGAGGAAUAAGCACCGGCUAACUCCGUGCCAGCAGCCGCGGUAAAGUAG
rnacentral:rRNA from 1 species